UAAGGAAUAUUGCUCAAUGGGAGAAAUCCUGAAGCAGCAACGCCGCGUGGAGGAUGAAGGGUCUAUGACUUGUAAACUCCUGUAAAGAAGGAAAAAAUUCCCAUUUGAUGGGAGAUGAUGGUACUUCUGGAGUAAGCCCCGGCUAACUACGUGCCAGCAGCCGCGGUAAUACGUAGGGGGCAAGCGUUGUCCGGAUUUACUGGGUGUAAAGGGUGCUCAGGCGGAUUUGUAAGUCAGAGGUGAAAUCUUACAGCUUAACUGUGAAACUGCCUUUGAUACUGCAAGCCUAGAGUAUGGAAGAGAGUGAUGGAAUACCUGGUGUAGCAGUGAAAUGCGUAGAUAUCAGAUAGAACACCCAUGGCGAAGGCAGUCACUUGGUCCAUUACUGACGCUAAAGCACGAAAGCGUGGGUAGCAAACA
rnacentral:rRNA from 1 species